rnacentral:rRNA from 1 species
CGACGUGAGGAACCUGCCUUUCAGAGGGGGACAACAGUUGGAAACGACUGCUAAUACCGCAUAACACAUAGGUGUCGCAUGGCAUUUAUGUCAAAGAUUUAUCGCUGAAAGAUGGCCUCGCGUCUGAUUAGCUAGUUGGUGAGGUAACGGCUCACCAAGGCGACGAUCAGUAGCCGGACUGAGAGGUUGGCCGGCCACAUUGGGACUGAGAUACGGCCCAGACUCCUACGGAAGGCAGCAG